rnacentral:rRNA from 1 species
CCUACGUGUGACUGCAGUGAGGAAUAUUGGUCAAUGGACGGAAGUCUGAACCAGCCAUGCCGCGUGCAGGAAGACGGCUCUAUGAGUUGUAAACUGCUUUUGUACAAGGGUAAACCUGAAUACGUGUAUUCAGCUGAAAGUACUUUACGAAUAAGGAUCGGCUAACUCCGUGCCAGCAGCCGCGGUAAUACGGAGGAUCCUAGCGUUAUCCGGAUUUAUUGGGUUUAACGGGUGCGUAGGUGGAUUGAUAAGUUAGAGGUGAAAUGUCCGGGCUUAACCCGGAAACUGCCUCUAAUACUUUUAAUCUAGAGAAUAGAUGAGGUAGGCGGAAUGUAUGGUGUAGCGGUGAAAUGCUUAGAGAUCAUACAGAACCCCGAUUGCGAAGGCAGCUUACCAAUCUAUAUCUGACGUUGAGGCACGAAAGCGUGGGGAGCAAACAGGAUUAGAUACCCCUGUAGUC